UGGGGAAUUUUGGACAAUGGGGGAAACCCUGAUCCAGCCAUUCCGCGUGUGCGAUGAAGGCCUUCGGGUUGUAAAGCACUUUUGGCAGGAAAGAAACGUCAUGGGUUAAUACCCCGUGAAACUGACGGUACCUGCAGAAUAAGCACCGGCUAACUACGUGCCAGCAGCCGCGGUAAUACGUAGGGUGCAAGCGUUAAUCGGAAUUACUGGGCGUAAAGCGUGCGCAGGCGGUUCGGAAAGAAAGAUGUGAAAUCCCAGAGCUCAACUUUGGAACUGCAUUUUUAACUACCGGGCUAGAGUGUGUCAGAGGGAGGUGGAAUUCCGCGUGUAGCAGUGAAAUGCGUAGAUAUGCGGAGGAACACCGAUGGCGAAGGCAGCCUCCUGGGAUAACACUGACGCUCAUGCACGAAAGCGUGGGGAGCAAACAGG
rnacentral:rRNA from 1 species